CGAGCAGCUCACACGGGAUGAGGGAGUCGCGCCGUCGACAGGGACGGCCGAGAAGACCUCAACCCUGCGGGUUCCUCUCCCUGAUGUGUAGCAUUUUAUCUGUUAGAGUAAAUUUACAUUUUAUCUGUUAGAGUAAAUUUCUUUUUAUGCUCCUGCUGGUUCAUUGGAGUUUGAUCUGUUCAUGGGGAUGCUGCUUUGUCUAGUUGUACACAUGCCCUGAUUCGUGUGUGCAUAAAAGGAGCAAUUAGGGAUUCGUGAGAUAUGAUGGUGAAGCAACUAGUUUAAUAAUUCCUGUCAGAUGCAAGCAAAUGAUUCAUUUGAUUUCUUAUGGAAGUUGCUAGUAGGGGAUAUCUGCAAGCAGAGUUCCUAGAAAAAGUAUUGCAAGCACAUGCUAGUCUGGUCAUUACCCAGGCUGCGUACAGUAGCAGUAAACAUUGUUAGCUUAAUCCAAAACUUGUUAGUCUACAAAUCUACAUCGGUGUAGUAGUAUAGGAAAGCUAGCUUGAGUUGGUUUUCUUUUCUUGUGUUACUAGUGUUCAGCCAGAAUUAGUAAGGUGUGAUCAACGUGGCCGUAUAAUUAGAUUAGGAAAAAUACUAAGUUGAGUCCGGCUACGACUUGUGCCUAGCUAUCUAGCUGCGUUGGUAGAAGUAGUACUAGGAUUAGAGCUGCCGCCUUAUAAGCAGAUUGUGACAUACGGGGCGCGUUCUUACAAGAAUCCACUGACCUAGAAUUGUACAUAUACAUGUGAACCUUGCUGUGCAAAUCCAUCAUCUAAUCUAAAUGCAAUGACAUGUAUAGUCUAACUUAAUUCUCUAUCUGUAAACUACUAGGAAAAGAAAAAUGUUGAUCCAGAAGAUAUAGAAGCCAAUGCCAUAGAUGCUGAAACUAUGGGUACUAGCAGGUAAACAUGCUUGUUUGGCUUUAAACAAUCCAUAAUGGUCUAAUAUUUCCUAUUGUAAAUUUGCAUUUCAACACUCUUAUUUUCAUUCAUUCUCAGUUCUAAAGAAAAGGAGGUGGUAAAAGGGCAAAGCCUAGCCCAGUUUUUGAAGCAUCUAAGAAGACUUCUGCUACACAUGAUAGUCCAGCAAAGAACACAAGAAGUAAACAAUGUCCUCCAUCGAAGAGCACAAGAAGCAAAAAUUUGUGAACCUUCCUGUGCAACUACAUGUUAUUUUGUGGAGCACCAUGCCAUAUGGAACCUUGCUGUGUAGUUGUGUAGCUGAUGCAACUGCAUGUAAUUUUGUGGAGCACCAUGCAUAUUUGAACCUUGAUGUGUAGCUUGUUGUGUAGCUAAUGCAAUUACAUAUUGUGAAGCAC
rnacentral:lncRNA from 1 species